rnacentral:rRNA from 1 species
ACCAACAGGAUUGCCUCAGUAACGGCGAGUGAAGCGGCAAAAGCUCAAAUUUGAAAUCCCCCGGGGAAUUGUAAUUUGAAGAUUGUGUUUUGGAAACGACCGUGUCUAUGUUCCUUGGAACAGGACGUCACAGAGGGUGAGAAUCCCGUGCGGCACGGCCACCGUUUCCUUAUAAAACACUCUCGACGAGUCGAGUUGUUUGGGAAUGCAGCUCAAAGUGGGUGGUAAAUUCCAUCUAAAGCUAAAUACAGGCGAGAGACCGAUAGCGAACAAGUACAGUGAUGGAAAGAUGAAAAGCACUUUGAAAAGAGAGUGAAACAGUACGUGAAAUUGUUGAAAGGGAAGGGCAUGCCGUCAGAUUGUCAGUGUGGGUAAGAAGCGGGGUACAAAGACUGUGGAACGUGGCCCUCGGGUGUUAUAGCCACAGUUCAUCCCCCGUCUCUUUCCGAGGCCUGCAUUGAGGACACCGACGUAAUGACGGUACGCCGCCCGUCUUGAAACACGGA